CAGGGAACUUUGUCGUCGGU
rnacentral:miRNA from 1 species